AUCCGAUCUUCAGCUUCAGCGUCAACCCGCGAGCCCUUGCGUCGCGUAGAAGCGAGGAUGGAGUGCGGCGACGAGGCGGCCAUCGAGAGGCACCGCGUCCACUUGCGCUCCGCCACGCUGCGCGACGCCGCCCCCGUCGCACUACACCUGCUGCCCUGCGAGGUCGCGGUGGACGGGCCCGCCCCGGUGGGGCGCUUCUUCACGCCUGCCAUCCGCCAGGGCCCCGAGGGACUCGAAGUGUCAUUUCGGGGCCGCUGUCUACGGGGCGAGGAGGUGGCGGUGCCGCCUGGCCUCGUGGGAUACGUGAUGGUGACGGAAGAGAAGGAAGUGUCCAUGGGGAAGCCAGACCACUUGCGGGAUUCCGGGACUGACGAUCAAGAAGAGUCGCCGCUGGAACGGGACUUUGACCGCUUCAUUGGAGCCACUGCCAGCUUCAGCCACUUCACCUUGUGGGGUCUGGAGACCAUCCCUGGCCCGGAUGCCAAAGUGCGUGGGGCCCUAACUUGGCCCAGUCUUGCGGCAGCGAUUCACGCACAGGUGCCCGAGGACUGAGAACCAGAGCUUGAAAUUCAAAGCUGCGAUCCCUUCACAGCAGUAAACCAGCUCUUUGGAACCACUGAUUCCAUCACCCCAAUAAAGGAGCUCUUUACAGCAAAAAAAAAAAAAAAAAAAGAAA